UACGUAGGAUCCGAGCGUUGUCCGGAUUUACUGGGUGUAAAGGGCGUGUAGGUGGAUCGGCAAGUCGAUGGUGAAAUCCUGCGGCUCAACCGCAGAAUUGCCUUCGAAACUACCGAUCUUGAGUGCGGCAGAGGGAGACGGAAUUCAUGGUGUAGCGGUGAAAUGUGUAGAUAUCAUGAAGAACACCGGUUGCGAAGGCGGUCUCCUGGUCCGUUACUGACACUGAGGCGCGAAAGCGUGGGGAGCAAACAGG
rnacentral:rRNA from 1 species